rnacentral:rRNA from 1 species
CGUCAGGAGGAAAGGUACUAGUUAAUAACUGCUAGUAGUGACGGUACCGACAGAAGAAGCUCCGGCUAACUCCGUGCCAGCAGCCGCGGUAAUACGGAGGGUGCGAGCGUUAAUCGGAAUUACUGGGCGUAAAGCGUACGCAGACGGUCAGUUAAGCGAGAUGUGAAAGCCCCGGGCUCAACCUGGGAACUGCAUUUCGAACUGGCAAACUAGAGUGUAUAGAGGGUGGUAGAAUUUCAGGUGUAGCGGUGAAAUGCGUAGAGAUCCGAAGGAACACCGAUGGCGAAGGCAGCCACCCUGGGUCAACACUGACGCUCAGUACGAA